rnacentral:rRNA from 1 species
UUCAAAUCUUUAAGAGCAAACGGUGGAUGCCUUGGCAUCUGGAGCCGAAGAAGGACGUAGCAAUCUGCGAUAAGCCUCGGGGAGUGGAUAAGCACACUUUGAUCCGAGGAUGUCCGAAUGGGGAAACCCCGCUGGGCGGCUUGCCGACCCAGUGACUCCCGCCUGAAUAUAUAGGGCGGGUAGAGGGAACGUGGGGAAGUGAAACAUCUCAGUACCCACAGGAAGAGAAAGCAACCGCGAUUCCGUUAGUAGUGGCGAGCGAAACCGGAACAGGCUAAACCGAGUACGUGUGAUAUCCGGCAGGAGUUGCGUAUUCGGGGUUGUGGGACUUUUCAGACUGCUCUGCCGAGCAGUCGGCGUUACAAGAAGGUAUAGACGAACGGCAUUGAAAGGCCGGUCACAGAGGGUGCAAACCCCGUAGUCGAAAUGCCUCCCUUGGCGCGAAGAGUAUCCCAAGUAGCACGGGGCCCGAGAAAUCCCGUGUGAAUCUGUCAGGACCACCUGAUAAGCCUAAAUACUCCCAGAUGACCGAUAGCGGACAAGUACCGUGAGGGAAAGGUGAAAAGUACCCCGGGAGGGGAGUGAAAUAGUACCUGAAACCGUUUGCUUACAAACCGUUGGAGCCUCCUUAGUAGGGGUGACAGCGUGCCUUUUGAAGAAUGAGCCUGCGAGUUAGCGAUAUGUGGCGAGGUUAACCCGAGUGGGGUAGCCGUAGCGAAAGCGAGUCUGAAUAGGGCGAUUCAGUCGCAUGUCCUAGACCCGAAGCGAAGUGAUCUAUCCAUGGCCAGGUUGAAGCGACGGUAAGACGUCGUGGAGGACCGAACCCACUUAGGUUGAAAACUGAGGGGAUGAGCUGUGGAUAGGGGUGAAAGGCCAAUCAAACUUCGUGAUAGCUGGUUCUCUCCGAAAUGCAUUUAGGUGCAGCGUUGCGUGUUUCUUGCCGGAGGUAGAGCUACUGGAUGGCCGAUGGGCCCCAAAAGGUUACUGACGUCAGCCAAACUCCGAAUGCCGGUAAGUGAGAGCGCAGCAGUGAGACUGUGGGGGAUAAGCUUCAUAGUCGAGAGGGAAACAACCCAGACCACCAUCUAAGGUCCCUAAGCGCGUGCUAAGUGGGAAAGGAUGUGGAGUUGCUUAGACAACCAGGAGGUUGGCUUAGAAGCAGCCACCCUUGAAAGAGUGCGUAAUAGCUCACUGGUCAAGUGAUUCCGCGCCGACAAUGUAACGGGGCUCAAGCACGCCACCGAAGUUGUGGCAUUGACAUUAUUGGUAGGCCUUCGUGGUCCAGCCGUGUUGAUGGGUAGGAGAGCGUCGUGUGGCGAGUGAAGCGGCGGGGUGACCCAGCCGUGGACGCCACACGAGUGAGAAUGCAGGCAUGAGUAGCGAAAGACGUGCGAGAAACACGUCCUCCGAAAGACCAAGGGUUCCAGGGUCAAGCUAAUCUUCCCUGGGUAAGUCGGGACCUAAGGCGAGGCCGACAGGCGUAGUCGAUGGACAACGGGUUGAUAUUCCCGUACCGGCGAAGAACCGCCCAAACCAAUCCAGUAAUGCUAAGUGUCUGAAUCCCUUUGACGGAUCCCUUCGGGGUGAAGCGUUGGGCCUAGCACACGACCCUAUGCUGAGGCGGUUAGCGUAUUAACAGGUGUGACGCAGGAAGGUAGCCCAAGCCAGGCGAUGGUAGUCCUGGUGCAAGUGCGUAGGCCAAGUGAUAGGCAAAUCCGUCACUUAUACAGGCUGAGACACGAUGCGGAUAAAAAGUGGGUGAUCCUAUGCUGCCAAGAAAAGCAUCGACGCGAGGUUCAAGCCGCCCGUACCCCAAACCGACUCAGGUGGUCAGGUAGAGAAUACCAAGGAGAUCGAGAGAAUCGUGGUUAAGGAACUCGGCAAAAUGCCCCCGUAACUUCGGGAGAAGGGGGGCCUUCGACGUAUAAGGACUUGCUCCGAAAGCGUUUGGAGGCCGCAGAGACUAGUGGGUAGCGACUGUUUACUAAAAACACAGGUCCGUGCCAAGUCGCAAGACGAUGUAUACGGACUGACGCCUGCCCGGUGCUGGAAGGUUAAGAGGACCGGUUAGCCGCAAGGCGAAGCUGAGAAUUUAAGCCCCAGUAAACGGCGGUGGUAACUAUAACCAUCCUAAGGUAGCGAAAUUCCUUGUCGGGUAAGUUCCGACCUGCACGAAUGGCGUAACGACUUCCCAACUGUCUCAACCGCGAACUCGGCGAAAUUGCAUUACGAGUAAAGAUGCUCGUUACGCGCAGCAGGACGGAAAGACCCCGUGACCUUUACUAUAGUUUGGUAUUGGUGUUCGGUGUGGCUUGUGUAGGAUAGGUGGGAGACUUUGAAGCGUGGACGCCAGUUCAUGUGGAGUCAUUGUUGAAAUACCACUCUGGUCACUCUGGAUAUCUAACUUAGAACCGUAAUCCGGUUCAGGGACAGUGCCUGAUGGGUAGUUUAACUGGGGCGGUUGCCUCCCAAAAAGUAACGGAGGCGCCCAAAGGUUCCCUCAACCUGGUUGGCAAUCAGGUGUCGAGUGUAAGUGCACAAGGGAGCUUGACUGUGAGACUGACAGGUCGAGCAGGGACGAAAGUCGGGACUAGUGAUCCGGCAGUGGCUUGUGGAAGCGCUGUCGCUCAACGGAUAAAAGGUACCUCGGGGAUAACAGGCUGAUCUUGCCCAAGAGUCCAUAUCGACGGCAUGGUUUGGCACCUCGAUGUCGGCUCGUCGCAUCCUGGGGCUGGAGUAGGUCCCAAGGGUUGGGCUGUUCGCCCAUUAAAGCGGUACGCGAGCUGGGUUUAGAACGUCGUGAGACAGUUCGGUCCCUAUCCGCUGCGCGCGUAGGAAGUUUGAGAGGAUCUGACCCUAGUACGAGAGGACCGGGUUGGACGAACCUCUGGUGUGUCAGUUGUUCCGCCAGGAGCACCGCUGAUUAGCUACGUUCGGGAUGGAUAACCGCUGAAAGCAUCUAAGCGGGAAGCCGGCCUCAAGAUGAGACUUCCAUGCCUUCGGGCGAGAGGCUCCCAGCCAGACUACUGGGUUGAUAGGCCAGAUGUGGAAGCGUGGUAACACGUGCAGCUGACUGGUACUAAUAAGCCGAUGAUUUGAUAA